CACCACUCAAGCCUAGCUUGGUAUUGGGCGCCGCGGCGAUCUCCAUCGCUGCGCGCCUUAAAGUCUCCGGCUGAGCAGUCUGUCUCCGAGCGUUGUGACACAUGUCGCUAGGGAGUGCAGGUCUGCCGCGGCCGUUAAAUCUUUAUCAAA
rnacentral:misc_RNA from 3 species